GUGGCUGAAAAUGGAUGUGGUGCAGUGGACAGCAAGAGUUCCGGGGGGGCGAACCCCAUUACCAGGAGUCUCCCUCAGGCUGCUCGCCUGGAAAUGGGAUGUAUGGUCAAUUCCACUCUACAGCAUCCCAAGGUCUGGGUCUCUGAAUUAGACCAAAUCUCGGGGACAUCUCUGCUCUUAUGACUAAUGACCAACAUCAAUGGGAAGAGUCAGACUGUGGCGAGAGGACCAAAGGGCCAGGGAAAGGGGAGUCUGUCCUGGGAACAAUGGGGUGACUGGAACAUUUAGGCCCCCUUCCACCCACCUAGGAAGCCAUCCCUAGUAGAUACAUGAAGCAGGAUCUGGUGGGCUCUUCCACGUAGUGGAGGAGGCUGGGGCGCGAGGUGGGUGUAGGGGGGAGGGGAGGAAACUGGGACUGGAGGUCUUAGCCUAAGGACCUCCUUCCUGUUUGUAGGGAAGCGACUGCCUCAGAAAGCUGCUGGGGGAGAGGAGGGAGGCCAUGGUGACUUCCGGGAAGAAGGCCCAACCUCCCUGUGCCCACAUGGGAUUCUCCAGUCCUGGCUUAAAAUAGUGCAACUCUGCCAUUGAUGCUGGACCCAGCCUGAACCUCGAAGGGUUGCAACCAUGGUUUGUGCUGCCAGUAGGAGCGGUGGUUAUGUGUGAGGGUCUACCCAGCUAUCUAGUUCAAAUCAGACUGUGCCCCGUGGCCACAGGGACUAAAACAAACAAACAAACAAACAAACAAACAAACAACCCCACAGAUCCCAGACCUGAAGCUUUGGAUGCAAGUUUCAGCUCUUGCACUGAUCAGCUUCGAGACUUUGGUCUGGUGCCUGCCUGGCUUUCAACCAAAAUGAAGACAGUGGCAUGGCACGGUCUGGUGCCUUUCAACCAAAUGAAGACAGAGCCUUGCCAGACAUAAAGUGGGUGCACAG
rnacentral:lncRNA from 1 species